GGGUUGUGAGGUUAAGCGACUAAGCGUACACGGUGGAUGCCCUGGCAGUCAGAGGCGAUGAAGGACGUGCUAAUCUGCGAUAAGCGUCGGUAAGGUGAUAUGAACCGUUAUAACCGGCGAUUUCCGAAUGGGGAAACCCAGUGUGAUUCGUCACACUAUCAUUACGUGAAUACAUAGCGUAAUGAAGCGAACCGGGGGAACUGAAACAUCUAAGUACCCCGAGGAAAAGAAAUCAACCGAGAUUCCCCCAGUAGCGGCGAGCGAACGGGGAGGAGCCCAGAGCCUGAAUCAGCAUGUGUGUUAGUGGAAGCGUCUGGAAAGUCGCGCGAUACAGGGUGACAGCCCCGUACACAAAAGCGCAUGUGCUGUGAGCUCGAUGAGUAGGGCGGGACACGUGGUAUCCUGUCUGAAUAUGGGGGGAC
rnacentral:rRNA from 1 species